rnacentral:rRNA from 1 species
GACGAACCGUACGAACGUUAUUCGGAAUCACUGGGCUUAAAGGGUGCGUAGGCUGCGCAGCAAGUUGGGUGUGAAAUCCCUCGGCUUAACCGAGGAACUGCGCCCAAAACUGCUGUGCUCGAGGGAGAUAGAGGUGAGCGGAACUUAGGGUGGAGCGGUGAAAUGCGUUGAUAUCCUAAGGAACACCGGUGGCGAAAGCGGCUCACUGGAUCUCUUCUGACGCUGAGGCGCGAAAGCUAGGGUAGCGAACGGG